ensembl:lincRNA
CCCGAAUUAAAAAUAGGAAUUAUAGCUGCUUAAUAGAAAAGGAUCAUAGGAAAUGCUGUGCUGUUUUCAGUGUACAUUUGUAGUCAAUGCAAUGCCUGUGUGACUUAGUGCGUUGAAAUUCUUAAAACAUCGUGUGUUGAAAGAAGGCUUGCAUCUAGCUAUCAUGCAUUUAAAUUUAGUGCAGGCUCUUGUUUUAAGGAGUUUUAUGUGGUUAAAUUGACAUUGCUUAAUAAACGAUUGAAUAAGUUAAGCAUAACUUAGAAGUCAUUUAGAAGUAUGAGUCAUUUUCCUGACAAGCCAAUAAGGUAAGAGAACCAAAGUUGCAAAACAAUUACUAGCCUAGCCGAGGGACCCUGGAAAUAUAUUACGGGUAUCAGUUAAGAAAACAAAGCAGCAGUGUUUUGCCAUGCUGCAAAGAACAAGCUAAGGUUGCUAACCAGACCAAGUAACUGCACUGACAAUGCCAAUUUUUACAUUUGUUUCAGAACAAGGGCCGCUCAAACCACCGGAGAAACGAGCCAAUGGACUCCGAAGAACUCCCAGACAGGUGGAUCCAGGUUUGCCAAAAAUGCAGGUCAUUAGGAACUAUACUGGAACACCACCCCCAGCUCUUCAUGAAGGACCCCCGCUACAUAUCCAGGCAGGGGAUACUGUUGAACUUCUGAGAGGAGACGCACACAGUGUGUUUUGGCAGGGUAGAAAUUUAGCAUCAGGAGAGGUUGGAUUUUUCCCAAGUGAUGCUGUUAAGCCUUCCCCAUGUGUACCCAAACCAGUAGAUUAUUCUUGCCAACCCUGGUAUGCUGGAGCAAUGGAAAGAUUACAGGCAGAGACCGAACUUAUUAACAGGGUAAAUAGUACUUACCUUGUGAGGCACAGGACCAAAGAGUCAGGAGAAUAUGCAAUUAGCAUUAAGUACAAUAAUGAAGCAAAGCAUAUCAAGAUUUUAACAAGAGAUGGCUUUUUUCACAUAGCAGAAAAUAGAAAAUUUAAAAGUUUAAUGAUUCUGCACUAUUGAUGGCCUUGGUGUCAUGACAGAUUCAAAUACCAACUUGCAGUUAUUUGUGUGGGUUUUAGCUUGUGUUUGAAUGAUACCCUGCAAAUGCUUAAUGUGCCCUUUUUCUUUCUUCAUUUGCUUUUAUUUGCUCAUUUGGCCAGAGGAAGGUGUUAUAAAUCAUGACAGAAAGAGCUACCAUUAAUAAAAUGCCUCUCUUGUUUAGUUUCAUUUCAUAAAAAUGCAAUAGGAAGUCAGAGUGAGAGGUUUUCUUUUAUAUUUUCUGCUAUUCUAAAUUGUGCAUUUAUUCAUUACCUUGGACAAUUAAACAUAGUUUACUUGUUUUUCACACGACAGUCACUAUUUAAUAGAAAUUUUAUAUGUAAGUGGAAGUAGUAUAGUUUUAUAGAUUGCUUCAAAUGAGCAGCAAUCGCCUGAUUAAUUCCUGUAAUUUUUUAAAGAGGUGGUUGGACAGAGGAAGGAGGGAAGGGAAAGGGGGUAAAUAAAGGAAUUCAGGCAUGUAAUGUACCCAGUUCACACGAGGAAUGUAAACAUUAUGUACUGUAUCCAUGUAUUAGUAACAUAAAAUUUUUUUUAAAAGAAGCUGAAUAAACUGUGGCUGUCACUUGAUAUUGAAAAGCUAUACUUUAAUAGUUUGAUUAACAUAGAAAAAUGUUCUGUGUGUCGUGAAUAAUGCAUAUAUCUCCUGUAUGCUAACCAUGCACAUAUGUUAUAUAUGCUAAUAAUAAGAAAGAUUUCAUAUUUUCUUAAAGGUGGUCUCGUGUGUUUCUCAAGUUUGGUAGUUUCAUGAGAUAAUAAAGGAAUUUGGAUAUAAGACAUAAGAUGUAUUUGCAGCUGCUAAGUCCCUUGAAUAAUCCUGGAAAGGACCACUCAUUGACUAAGCAUCAACCAAGGGCCAGGGAUGUAGCUCAGCAGUGCAGUGCCUGCCUGGCAAGUGCAAGGUCCUGGGUUCAAUUCCCGGUACCAAAAAAGCAACAAAGCAACAAAAGUCAAUCAAAAGAUGCACAUUGCAUCUUUCUAGAAAACAUCAGAAAGCACUUUGCAGAUGUUAACAUGAAAUUUAAAGUUGAGUGUAAGAAAGCCUUGCAAAAUAGACCAGCUUGAAUGCCUUACUAAAAACUGAGCACUGUGUAAAGACAAGGAUCUGUUUGUUUUUUUUUUAAAGGAAGCAUUUUCAGUUGAAAGAAAAAGAAGAAAAUCUCUGUAGACAUAAAUAUAACAUUUCUAGUUCAAAAGCUAAGGAAAGGCAGCAUGGCCAUGUCCUGGAAAGUGUAAACUCUGUCAAAUUGGAAACCAAGAUCCAGGCGUUCUCCCUGCUGGAAGUAACUCAUGUUCCGUUGGAACAAGCGGGCUGUGCAGAGAGAACUCAGCCAGAGGAGGUUCUUCAUGAAAUGAGAACCUAGCAGAGAGGUGGCAGGUGGAGGCACAAAUAAUGAACAACAGGCACAGCUGGGACGUGGUGACAGCAUGCUCGGGGACUCCGCGUAUCUCUGUAAGACCCGCCAGUCUGAGCUUUCCCCUGCAGAGCUUCCUGGGACAGUAAUGAGGCUGCUCCACAGUAUUAUAAUUAAUACGGCACUUUAAAAAAUGCCACAGGGCCAAAGAUGACUUCCAGCCUCUUGGCCUUUGAAAGUAAGCGAAAGGAAGUCCCAUUGGAGGAGACGCGUGCAGAGGAUGAAAGGGACAGCCACUGGAAAGGGCCAAUCAGUUCAGCUGUGUGUCACCUUGGCUCCUCUCAAGGAAGUUCUUUCGCAGCAAGGGUUAGAUGUGGAAAGCCAGAAAUACCGCAGCGACCUGGACUGGCAGACAUAGACUCUUGAGUUUCUGUCUGUACAUACGUCUGUGAUUAUAGCUAAAGCAAUCAAACCCUGAUUCAAAUCAUUUGUACAAGACCACAUUACUGUGUACUAAUGUACCGAUGUUCUGGAGAGGGAAGUAAGGGUACUUGUCUCAGGCUUCAAAUAAGCUCCCCUUAUAAAAUGUAGGUAAAAUGCCAAAAAGGCUACAGAUGCAUGCACACUUUCCCCCUUCAUAUCAUGGGAUGUUUUGUAGGAGAACCUGUACUUCACUGAGUUACGGGGGGGAUGAACAGCAAAACUACAGUGAGACUAGAAAACACUAGCAAAUAUGUGUAGUCGUGAGAAUGAAAGAGUGACAAGGAGCUGGAAACCUCGGUCUCAGAAAAGUCCUUUCUCAGAUUUAGAAAAUAACUAUUAAAACCAAUGAAGAAGCAGUUCUUGAUCAUUAUUUUUGUUUCUAUUUAAUUAUUGAACACAUUUUUAUUGAGUCUUUUCUAUGCAAAAUCACUGAUACUAGUGAAUACAAAUAUACCAAGAACCUCAACAUGGUUCUGUCUGAAGGAUGGUUCGUAUUUCAGUAACGGGCCCCUUUGAAAGGCAAAAAGGUUACAAGGUACAAGCGCUCCUUAAAAUCAGAAUCAGACAACCUCUAGGAGAUGCCUUCUUUAUUACUGGCAUCAAAUACCACAGUUUGCAUUACCAGUCAGUAUGGUUUGUAGGUUUGAGUUGUUUCUUAAGAAUCGUUUUUUAUCCAGCUAUCACUGAUGUUAAAGUUAGAUUUCUCUGCCUAUGAAUCAGAAUAGGGCAUGGAAUUAAAUUUUUAUCUGGAAAGGAUAUAAAACACAAGCAAACGCUGGAGUUUAUUUUAAAUUCUCCAACUUAUCAAAGAGAAGAUUGGCCUUAGGUGUUUGGAACUGAACUUUGUUCCCUUGGGUUUCAAUAGCUUAGUUCAUCAAAAUUUUUGUUUUUCUUAGUCAUUAAAUUCAAAUCCUAAAUGAAUUUCUGUAUCCAGAUUACAAGGCAUUAAUUUUGUUCUAAUUUUCAUGUAUGCCAGACAAUCCAUGUCCAAAUGCUGUUUAUAAACCAUCUCCGUUGCCUGUUUCCUAGGUAAUUGGAAUGACUAGCUCUCACUCAUUAUUUUUCAGAGAGACUUGAAUUGUUGACACUGCUGUGUCAGUGUGAGAUAAGGAAAGCUUAGCAAUUUCUUUUGUUUAGUCUUCUUAUUUACUUGUUGUACCUGAAGGUCAAUGACUGCUAAAGCAGGGGUGGAUUAGACUGAAAUACAGAAAGCAUAAAGGCAUGAACUGGAAAAGCUCCAUGGUGGCACUAUUUAAUGCUAUGCAGAAACCUGUAGGAAGAUAUACCCUUCUAAGACUGUAAAAGUGGAACUAAAUUAUCUUCCAUGCUUAGCGAAGUGUUAAAGAGUGUUUUGCAGUUUACUAAGCUACAUGACCAUAGGCUUUGAAAGAAUGAUAUUUUUCUUCUGUAAAAUUUUGGAGGAGUAGUAAAUGAUGACCAGAUUCUGCAGCAGAACAGUGCUUUGAUAGUUUCUAGCCAACUUCACAUAAACAUUAAUUAAUUAUAAUUCAUAACAAAAUUUGACUUUUAAUGAAAUUAAAUUAAAGUUAAAGCUAUUGGCACGUAAUUCAUUUCAGGCUUAUUUUCAUAUUGCCAAAGAAAGUAACAAAUUUUAUGGAAUUUAAGUAUCAAAACUAAGAGAAAAACUCUUCGAUUUAAUUUGCAUUAAGAACAUAAUAUGUACAUGUACUUUCUUCCAGAGACCUUACAAGUUUCAUUCUUUUAAAAAUUAAUAGCAAUUCUGAUCACUAAGAGCCAUUUAAUUCCUGACCUAGCCUUUGCAAACUACAUAUUAAAAAUCAGCAUAAUACAAAUGCUGUAUUCUAAUUGUUGAUACUAUUUUGAAAAUACAAACUUCCAUCUAGUCUAGUGGUUUUUUUUUUUCUUUGUCCUUAAAGUUGGUCAGAUUCUGCAUUCCUUUGUUUCAGAAAGCACCCCCAUUAGCUAGGCCCAAGAAAGGAAGGAAGGAAGGAAGGAAGGAAGGAAUAUUUUCUGAAAAUUAAAAAUGUAAUGUAUGUAAAACCUUAGCAUCUUAAAUCUGAGAAAACAAAGUUCCAGGCAUGUCACAGACAACUAGCAAACUCCGUUUCCCUUGGCUUGUCUGUGUGUGUGUGUUUACAUUUUUCAGGUACUCUUUGUUAAUAAGCCCAAAUAGUUAAAGGCAUGGACUUUGGAGCCGUAUCAGCUGUGUGAUCUCCCACACGCUGCUUAGCCUGAGAUCUUUGCGUUCAUGGGGAUGAUGACUGUCUCAUAAGGUUCCCGAGUAAGGGUUAUGACAAAGAAUAAUC